UUUAACACUCACUCCCUUACCCCCUUUUACUCAAACAGCCGCCGUUAUUCCUCAUUCUCCCUCACCCUCGUAACACACAAACACACUCUACACAAACACACACACACCCACACAUAGAGGAGUUGAAGAGAGAAAGAAAGGGAGAGCAUCUCUGGUGGCACGGUUGGUGGUGGCUAAUCGUGGCCAUGGUUUAACCCAUAAAUGAUGUCGUUACACAUAGCAUAGGCAAUUCUCCAUGGAAUAGUGUAAAGUUGUUAUUGAGCAAGAGUGUGUUCAAUGUUAAGCACAGUAAUAAAAGGCCUAUUUAUCACAAUGCUACCCCCUUAAUAUUAAUAAUUGUGACCCAUCAAUGACAAAGGCACUCCCAAUCGCAAGGGUUGUUGUUGCAAAUCCGGUGAGAGAAGACAGCAUAAGCCGCCAGAAAGAAGACUGCCGUUGGACUGCUUCCAAUCAACUGGAAAUUCUAGGUUGAUCGAAGGAGAUCCGAAGAGACACUUAGCGAGUAGACAUUCCUGAUGUGGAGGGAUGCAAAUUUACAGUCUGUAAUUGCCAUUAAAGCUCUUUCAUGAAUGAUUUUUCCUUUUUUUUUUGCCAGGAUCUAGGACCGACCUACCCCAAACCAAGGAGAUCUGACCCGAAAUGAUUCUACCUAUGAAGCCCCAAAUGGCGCCAUUUAAUUCUUCAUCAUUCGCUGAUUUCUACUCUCCAUCAUCUUCUCCCAUCAUACCACCAUUCGUGACAUCCCAACCAUCACCUUCUUUGAUCCUCAUGCUUUCAGUGUCCUACACUCGAGUUCCAUCAAACUAACAAUCAUAAACUUUCUAUUCGAAUUUCACUGUCGAAGAAGCAACUAUCGUGCCCAAUUCGUACGGUGAAAAGAGUAACAAAAGAGGAAGAAAGUAAGCAAAGGUGCUGGGCGUGUGUGUAGGGCGUGCCACAUCAAGCAAACACCAGGAUUUUUGACUGGGCAUGGCACGCUACUACUGGGCGUGGCACGCCAGCUAUAAGCUCCAGAAGAGGCAUUUGAAGAGUUAUGAUGCGUAGCAUUCGGUUGGAUUUGAUGGAGUUUCUGCAGCACAAGAAUUAAAGGAGAUGACAGCGACGAG